rnacentral:rRNA from 1 species
GACGAACCGUGCGAACGUUAUUCGGAAUCACUGGGCUUAAAGCGCGUGUAGGCGGGGCGGCACGUCCGUCGCUGAAAUCCCCCGGCUCAACCGGGGAACGGGCGCGGAUACGGCCGCCCUGGAGGGGCGUAGAGGGACCUGGAACUUCCGGUGGAGCGGUGAAAUGCGUUGAGAUCGGAAGGAACGCCCGUGGCGAAAGCGAGGUCCUGGACGCCUACUGACGCUGAGACGCGAAAGCGUGGGGAGCAAACAGG